rnacentral:rRNA from 1 species
UACGUAGGGGGCAAGCGUUGUCCGGAAUCAUUGGGCGUAAAGCGCGUGUAGGCGGCCAGAUAAGUCCGCUGUGAAAUCUCGAGGCUCAACCUCGAGCUGUCGGUGGAAACUGUCUGGCUAGAGUCCGGAAGAGGAGAAUGGAAUUCCUGGUGUAGCGGUGAAAUGCGCAGAUAUCUGGAGGAACACCGGUGGCGAAGGCGGCAUCCUGGACCAACACUGACGCUGAUGAGCGAAAGCCAGGGGAGCAAACGGGAUU